CAGGGUCCAGGAGCUAGAAGAGGACACAGUCCCGGCCACCUAGAGCUUGGGGACUGGUACGAUCGAAGGGACGUGAGACAAGGACCCCCAUUCAACCGACUGGCUCCAAGCUGAGCCUUGGAGAGGUGGCUGGGGACAGGAGGAAAAGACGGAGCCCCCCGUGCAUUGCCAGGAUUUCUCUUUCCGUAUCCCAGCCUCCCUGCUCCCUGGGGCACACAGGUGGAUGGCGGAGGCAGCCAGUGAAGGCACCAACCGAGGGGCAGAACCUCCACAUGCCAUGGGCGCAGGCCAAAUGGAGAGAGUGAUGGAGAGAGGAAGAAACGCUGGGAGACACAACCUCCAAGUCUCAAGUGGAAACGGGGAGAGAGGCGUCAUGGGAGGGAGCAGCUCUCGAAGUCCCAGCUGGCCCCCCCUAGCUUCGCAAGGACAGCGCUACCUCUCCUCAUCUCUAAGACACCAUCCACCACUGUACGGCGCACUUUUCCGUAUCACUCAGAAAGAGAAACCGCUGGCAAUUAAAUUUGCCGACACGAUAUCGUGAGCUUUUUCGGGCACACAGAGUUUGGGGAACUAUAUGAUGGACAGGCACACGCGCGCCACCCAGCCUCUGCCGCUGACAUGUGGUCCUAUCGCACAUCGGUGCCUCGAGCCAUCCAUCAUUCCACCUUUUUUAAAAAAAAUUAUUAAAUAGUUGAUUGACAAUGCAGUGCCCAUCUUUUUUUUUUUUUUUUUGGAUGCAUUUCAAAGUAGCUCGCAGACAUCAUAAUAGACCCUGGCGUACGUAUCAUUAACUAGAGCUGAAUAUGUGUUCACAGUCCUUUAGUUAGCAGGAAACCUACAAAGAACGCAAAUCUUGAGCAAAAACAUUCACCGAUAUUUGACAAAUGCUUACACCUGUGUAAGCCAAACCCUUUCAAGACACAGAAUCCCAAAAUUUCCUUCCUUCCUGUGCCAGGCAACCCCCACCCCCAGAGAAAACCACUCUUGUGGUUAGUUUUGCCUGUUCUAGAACUUCCUGUAAAUGGACUCGUACAGUCUGUAUUCAACAUGAUACCUUUGAUGUCUUUUGAUAUUCUUUGAUCUUCCGCAUAAGGCCUCUGAGAUCCGGCCAAGUUGUUCUGAGGAUCAGUAAUCCAUUCCUUUUAUCACUGAGUCGUUCCCCAGGGUGUGGGCGUUGCAGGGUUGGUGCCGCCAUUCCUCUGUUGAUUGACACCUGGGCUGUUUUCUGUGUUGGGCUGUUAAAGCCAACGAGAGGUCAUCGCAUUUUUAAGGCAAUCCUGAUUUCACUUCAAAGUGGGGACCUCCAGUCCCAGGCAAGGGGAGCUGAGUGCUGACCACCAGCACCAAUUCACCAAGUUCAUCCUGCCAGCGGCCCUUGCUGGGUCUCUCUCUGUUUCACAAAUGUGAAACUGAUAGGGAAAGAGGUUAAACCAUUUACAAAUGUGAAACUGAUAGGGAAAGAGGUUAAACCAUUUACAAAUGUGAAACUGAUAGUGAAAGAGGUUAAACAGCAGGGAGUUCCCGCUGUGGCUCAGCAGAACGAACCCCACUAGCAUCCAUGAGGAUGCGAAUUUGAUCUCUGGCUCUGCUCAGGGGAUUAAAGAUCCGGCGUUGCCGUGAGCUGUGGUGUAGGUGGAAGACAUGGCUUGGAUCCUUCAUUGCUGUGGCAAUGGUGUAGGCCGGCAGCUGUAGCUCCACUUCGACCCCUAGCCUGGGAACUUCCCAUAGGUAGGCCGCCCCCCGCCCCCGAAUCGAAACCUAUAUCUUGGGAGUUCCCACUGUGGCACCGUGGGUUAAGGAUCCAACUGCAGUGGCUUGGGUCACUUCAGACGCUGGGUUUGAUCCCAGCCCAGGGCAGUAGGUUAAAGGAUCCCAUGUUGCUACAGCUGAGGCUCGGAUUCAUUCCUUAGCCUGGGAACUUCCAUAUGCUGCAGGUGUGGCCAAAAAAAAAUAUAUAUAUAUAAAUAAACCUAUAUUUUAUCCAUAUACA
ensembl:lncRNA